ACACCCUUGAACAAUCUGUUCUUAUCAGUUUAAUAUUGAUAUGUCCCCCAUCGGGGGACUAUACAUAUUUAAAUGGAUUUUUCGAACAGGGAGUCGGAAGCGGGGCUUGCUCGUCCGCUCACACGCAUCGACUCGGUAUGGCAGUACCUCCGAGAACGGUGCACCCUCU
rnacentral:snRNA from 1 species